AGUGAACGCUGGCGGUAGGCCUAACACAUGCAAGUCGAACGGCAGCACAGUAAGAGCUUGCUCUUACGGGUGGCGAGUGGCGGACGGGUGAGGAAUACAUCGGAAUCUACUUUUUCGUGGGGGAUAACGUAGGGAAACUUACGCUAAUACCGCAUACGACCUACGGGUGAAAGCAGGGGAUCUUCGGACCUUGCGCGAUUGAAUGAGCCGAUGUCGGAUUAGCUAGUUGGCGGGGUAAAGGCCGACCAAGGCGACGAUCCGUAGCUGGUCUGAGAGGAUGAUCAGCCAAACUGGAACUGAGACACGGUCCAGACUCCUACGGGAGGCAGCAGUGGAGAAUAUUGGACAAUGGGCGCAAGCCUGAUCCAGCCAUACCGCGUGGGUGAAGAAGGCCUGCGGGUUGUAAAGCCCUUUUGUUGGGAAAGAAAAGCAGCAGGUUAAUACCCCGCUGUUCUGACGGUACCAAAAGAAUAAGCACCGGCUAACUUCGUG
rnacentral:rRNA from 1 species